UGGGGAAUAUUGCACAAUGGGCGCAAGCCUGAUGGAGCAACGCCGCGUGAGUGAAGAAGGUCUUCGGAUCGUAAAGCUCUGUUGUUGGUGAAGAAGGAUAGAGGCAGUAACUGGUCUUUAUUUGACGGUAAUCAACCAGAAAGUCACGGCUAACUACGUGCCAGCAGCCGCGGUAAUACGUAGGUGGCAAGCGUUGUCCGGAUUUAUUGGGCGUAAAGCGAGCGCAGGCGGAAUGAUAAGUCUGAUGUGAAAGCCCACGGCUCAACCGUGGAACUGCAUCGGAAACUGUCAUUCUUGAGUGCAGAAGAGGAGAGUGGAACUCCAUGUGUAGCGGUGGAAUGCGUAGAUAUAUGGAAGAACACCAGUGGCGAAGGCGGCUCUCUGGUCUGCAACUGACGCUGAGGCUCGAAAGCAUGGGUAGCGAACAGGAUUAGAUACCCUGGUAGUCCAUGCCGUAAACGAUGAGAGCUAGGUGUUGGGGACUUUCCGGUCCUCAGUGCCGCAGCAAACGCAUUAAGCGCUCCGCCUGGGGAGUACGACCGCAAGGUUGAAAC
rnacentral:rRNA from 1 species